AACGAACGCUGGCGGCAUGCCUAACACAUGCAAGUCGAACGAGACCUUCGGGUCUAGUGGCGCACGGGUGCGUAACGCGUGGGAAUCUGCCCUGGGGUGCGGAAUAACUCGGAGAAAUCCGUGCUAAUACCGCAUAAUGUCUUCGGACCAAAGAUUUAUCGCCCUGGGAUGAGCCCGCGUAGGAUUAGCUAGUUGUGGGUAAAGGCCUACCAAGGCGACGAUCCUUAGCUGGUCUGAGAGGAUGAUCAGCCACACUGGGACUGAGACACGGCCCAGACUCCUACGGGAGGCAGCAGUGGGGAAUAUUGGACAAUGGGCGAAAGCCUGAUCCAGCAAUGCCGCGUGAGUGAUGAAGGCCCUAGGGUUGUAAAGCUCUUUUACCCGGGAUGAUAAUGACGGUACCGGGAGAAUAAGCUCCGGCUAACUCCGUGCCAGCAGCCGCGGU
rnacentral:rRNA from 1 species